CUACGGGAGGCAGCAGUAGGGAAUCUUCCGCAAUGGGCGAAAGCCUGACGGAGCAACGCCGCGUGAGUGAUGAAGGUCUUCGGAUCGUAAAACUCUGUUAUUAGGGAAGAACAUAUGUGUAAGUAACUGUGCACAUCUUGACGGUACCUAAUCAAAAAGCCACGGCUAACUACGUGCCAGCAGCCGCGGUAAUACGUAGGUGGCAAGCGUUAUCCGGAAUUAUUGGGCGUAAAGCGCGCGUAGGUGGUUUGUUAAGUCUGAUGUGAAAUCCCACGGCUCAACCGGGGAGGGUCAUUGGAAACUGGAAAACUUGAGUGCGGAAGAGGAAGGUGGAAUUCCAUGUGUAGCGGUGAAAUGCGCAGAGAUAUGGAGGAACACCAGUGGCGAAGGCGACUUUCUGGUCUGUAACUGACGCUGAUGUGCGAAAGCGUGGGGAUCAAACAGGAUUAGAUACCCUGGUAGUCC
rnacentral:rRNA from 1 species